rnacentral:lncRNA from 1 species
GCGUGAGGCAGAGCCCGGUAUCACAGUCACGGUGACACAGUCACACGGUGCGGUGCGGGGAUGCCAGGCAGGGAAGGAGGCACAGACCAGCGCAUUGUGCAGUAACCCCGUGAGUCCCAGCACACAGCGCUGAGCAGAAGGAAGAAGAGCAAAGGAGGGCGCCCUGCAGUCCCAUCCUCAGAGCGGCUCAGCUUCCUUCCCGAACACAGAGAUCUUGUUUCAAAGGCAAAGAAUCCAGGAAGGAGGCGCCGGCGG